AUUGAACGCUGGCGGCAUGCUUUACACAUGCAAGUCGAACGGUAACAGGCCGCAAGGUGCUGACGAGUGGCGAACGGGUGAGUAAUGCAUCGGAACGUGCCCAGUCGUGGGGGAUAACUGCUCGAAAGAGCAGCUAAUACCGCAUACGAUCUAUGGAUGAAAGCGGGGGACCGUAAGGCCUCGCGCGAUUGGAGCGGCCGAUGUCAGAUUAGGUAGUUGGGGGGGUAAAGGCUCACCAAGCCAACGAUCUUUAGCUGGUCUGAGAGGACGACCAGCCACACUGGGACUGAGACACGGCCCAGACUCCUACGGGAGGCAGCAGUGGGGAAUUUUGGACAAUGGGGGCAACCCUGAUCCAGCAAUGCCGCGUGCAGGAAGAAGGCCUUCGGGUUGUAAACUGCUUUUGUACGGAACGAAACGGUCUGGGUUAAUACCCUGGGCUAAUGACGGUACCGUAAGAAUAAGCACCGGCUAACUACGUGCCAGCCGCCGCGGUAACAC
rnacentral:rRNA from 1 species